CAUGCAAUAUUCAUCACAUUAGUCCUGAAGCAGGGUGCUGGCUGCACAGACCUCUCUGAACGGUCCUGAUGCAUGAGUUGAACCCGACACACAGUAAACUCGGCAUGAAACACGCAGAACAUCAGUCCAGCCUCCAUCUGUAUGGCAACAGUUUGGGAAAGGAACAUAUCAUUGACACGGAGAUGUCUACAUACCAUGCGUGAUGGUCCUCCGGAGCUCAAGCAAGCUCCGAAAGG